rnacentral:rRNA from 1 species
CAGUCGCCGCGGUAAUACGUAGGGUGCGAGCGUUAAUCGGAAUUACUGGGCGUAAAGCGUGCGCAGGCGGUUAUAUAAGACAGUUGUGAAAUCCCCGGGCUCAACCUGGGAACUGCAUCUGUGACUGUAUAGCUAGAGUACGGUAGAGGGGGAUGGAAUUCCGCGUGUAGCAGUGAAAUGCGUAGAUAUGCGGAGGAACACCGAUGGCGAAGGCAAUCCCCUGGACCUGUACUGACGCUCAUGCACGAAAGCGUGGGGAGCAAACAGGAUUAGAUACCCGAGUAGUCCCUGUCUCUUAUAC